GGUGAGGUGGCUGAAUUUAGGUGAUAGACUGUAAAUCUAUUUAUGAGGUUUCUCCUCUCUUACCA
rnacentral:tRNA from 1 species